GCUGGGCAUGGUGGCGCACGCCUGUAAUCCCAGCUACUCGGGAGGCUGAGGCCGGAGAAUUGCUUGAACCCGGGAGGUGGAGGUUGCAGUGCACCAAGAUUGUACCACUGCACUCCAGCCUGGGUGACAGAGCGAGACUCCGUCUCAA
ensembl:misc_RNA Metazoa_SRP Metazoan signal recognition particle RNA